ensembl:lncRNA
GUGGCUAAAGUAACGUAAUAUGCAGAGGCAUGGUUCACUGCAUAUACGCUUAGGUCAUCUUAUGUCUAUGAUUCACUGAAUAAACGGUAAUUUGGCUCUGAUAUUUUGUGAUGAGAAAACAUCAAACAUAAAAACUGUGGCUUUGACAGGUCGUUCAUUUCUUAAAGUGGCUACCUAUUGGCAGCUGUAGGCAGCAACAAACACAUUCAUCAUGGGUGGUUCUCAGUACUUCUCCUAACAAUGAGUCAAAGCACUUCCUUAUACUCUCUCUUUGCGGAGAUGGAGUCACCAAGUUUGGUUCUUCUAAGCUGUUUCCUGAUACAAUGCUACGGGUCUACUCAUUUUCAUUACCUAAAGAAAGGGGAGGAGGUUACACUGUCCUGUGAAACAUGUCAAUGGGAGGCUGAUGUGGAUUCAGACAACAGAGUGGACUGCAGUGUCAUAGACAGUAUUUAUACCAUGAACUCAGACUGCCCUGCUGAAAGACAUGGUCUAUGCCAAGAGAUAAAGAGAAACAAAUCCACCAGUUGUGAAAUCCGUGUAAAGAGGGGAUUCUUUGCCUGUGUCAAUGCUGUAUCUGACUCCUGCUUCAUGCAUCCAUUCAAACCCUCUUCUCAUCAUGUGGAGUCCUUCAUUGUUGCUCAGGCAGAACGACAUUGUGUCUGGACCUGUAAUGGAAAACUCAGUGCUUGUGUCUGGAGGAGAAUCAAUUCAUCUGACGUGCACUUUUAAAAUAAAAGGGUAUUACUCCUAUAAUCCUUUCGUGGUGUACUGGAUCAAGACUGGUGCUCAGAGCAGCACAUGUGUGUAUUCCUUUAGUUACGUUAGUUAUGGGGAUAGUGGGUUUGAUGACCACUGUGCCAUUGACAAAGAUCUUCUGUUAAGGAGAUCACACACAUCAAGACCCUUCCUUGAUGAUAACAACAUCCAUAACCUGAAGAUCAGCAAUGCCACUCAGUCAGACCGUGGACAGUAUCUGUGUGUCUUACAGGUGAACAUAUAUAACCAGCAGUACUGGGCAGUAAUAACCAACACUACAGUCAUUGUGGAUAAUCCUGAUUCCUAUCUCAUCUAUGUGAUUGGUGUAUUAGUACCCGUUCUUCUCCUCCUCCCUGUCAUCAUCAUCAUCAUCAUCAUCAUACUGCUUAAAAGGAAAUCAGCUGAGACAAAAGUGUCUCAAACUGCAAUAACUCAAAGAUUUCAGAACGGGGAGGAAGUGGAUGACGACGACUGUUCCCCUUAUGCGAUGGGCCAGGGAGAGCAGGAACCAACGUACUCACUCAUUCAGCUGACCAAUCAGAAGACUGACCCUGUGUUCAGUGGGGAUGGAGAACUCGCUUCAGACCCAUCAGCAGAUGAGGGCAUCAUGAGGAAGAACUCCAUAUAUGAAACCUCAGGUCCAUAGUCUCAACUGCCUGCCAGUUUCUUGCAGUGUGAGUUCCUGCAUAAAGACCAAGAUUACAUGAUCGGCCUGUUUAUAACCAGGCCUGUAAAUAACCGCAUUAGUCCUGUUUCAGUUAAAAUGAGGAAGGAACUCUCGCUGUCACAACUUCCUGACUGAAACCUAAAAUUUCCCCAGAUUGCUUUGUUUGUGGGCUUAUCCCACAGCUGUCAUUUCAGUUAUAGAAUAGAUAAAUAUGACUAUUGUUGUGAUUUGUUGGAUAGUCAUUUCUAAUGUUGGUACUUUGAGCCAAUAUGCUAGAGGUUGUUCAAAUGUGUUUGCAUGUGUUGUUUGUAAAUAAGCCAAACUGAUAAAUGAACUAAUUAAACUGUAAAUUAAAAAAGUCAGUCUUGAAGGAAAGGGGGCAUUUGUUUUUGUAGUUUCACAGAUACACCCAGUUUACCAGUUAAUAUGGUGAAGCAACUCUCGGUUUCACACAGUAAGCAUUGUGUGUAGUUUUUUUAGCACUCCCAAAAUACUCUGAAAGAGUCAACUUUUCUUUUUAAAGUCACUCAUUCUCUACAUAUUUUUCUGGUCUGUACAAGUUAACUGGUAACCCUCAGUUAGUCUAAAGAGAGCGACCUGUUUAUUACACUGAGGGUCUACAGAACCAAAACGAUCUACUGUCCAUUGCAAAGUAUUGCUUCCAUGUUUUUUACGGCAGUCUACUUUAGGUGACGUUGCUGGGCUCCCCACUAGAUGGAGCUAUUGUGCUAUACAUUUCACCUUAAUGUAGAUAUUAAUAUGACUAUAAGGUAAGCUGUUUCAAAUACAUCGAAAGAUUAGGCUACUUCAAUACACGUCGGCGUAAAAUUAUAUAACUGAAAUGACAUAGCUAAAUAUGCAUGAACAUUUUGUUAUAGGAGCAGUCACAGACCUUAGAAGUGAGGCAGACAUUGUAAUGCUCCAAGAAGCUCACUGAUCUGAAUUGGAUGUCAAAUUUUGGAGAUCACAAUGGGGAAAUACUAUACAUUAUAGUCAUGGAAGUAAUAACUCAGCAGGGGUUGCUAUACUUUUACACAAAUUCAAAGGUGAAGUGUUAGAAACAGUGAAAUCCUCUGAAGGAAGAUGGGUGAUGAUUGUCAUAAAGCAAGACAAUGGCAUUUUUAUUGUAUGUAAUGUUUAUGGAUAUAAUUCACAUUUGUCCAACAAAACUUUAUUUGUCCAGAUAUCGAAUAAUGCCAAAUUACUUCUUGACAAAUAUAGUGACUCUUAUGUUAUCUUUGAGGUGACUUUAACGGAUGUGUCGAUUCUAGUGUUGAUAGAUUCCCCCCCAGAUUGAGUAAGGUCUGUGUUCUGUCCUUGUUCGGUUUCCCCAGAUUGAGUAAGGUCUGUGUUCUGUCCUUGUUCGGUUUCUGAGUUUGUCUCCCUUGUGUUGUCACAUGUUUGUUCCCUUGUCUAGUCCUUGUGCUUUCUUGAUCCCGCCAGGGGGGUAUUCGUCGUAGCUCGCUAAGCAGUUUAGCGAGCUAAUUUUCAGGCUAAGAUAAAAAACGCCCCUCUUUUUGGUUUGUGGAAGCAACUUUUGAUAAAUCACCAUAGUUACAUAUCGAUUAGCACUAACCUGCUCCAGGGCAGGCUAACUUAAGUGUAGCUGGAUAAGCUUGCCACACCCCCAGAAAAAGGAGGGAUCCCAUUGACCAAGGACUGAUAUUAGAUAGUUAAUAAGAUUAGCGGAGGGAGAGAGUUCUUUGCAAUCGCCAAGAUCAAUUAUUCUUGUAUGAGCGCUACCGAUUCAGCCGACAAGGAAUCAUUAAUUUACAAGACCUUCUCGAGUGAUUUAUUGCAAACACCACAGUCGAACAUUGACUGUCUUGCGCUUUUUUGCGAGUGAUACAUUUUUGUAGUGUCGGUGAUGCGAAGAACAACAGUUAUUCAUACACACAUAUCACCCUAUAAACAUCCCAACACACCUUGCUCUCACAGCGGUGGUGGUGUUGAAUUUGGCCAUGAUUAUGGUCUUGUAUUCAUCAUAAGCGUUCAUGUUCAUCUCCUACUCGCCAGCGGAGAAAAAAUAGCCCUUUUCUUUGAGUUUAGAACCAUUAUACCGUUAGAAAAUCAUGGUUUUGGUGAUCGACCUUUCCUGCCUUUUGAAGUAGGACGUGCACGCGCAAAUGCCAUGAUAACUUUAGCCUGGUUGAAAUUAACCACAUGAUUUGGAUGCGGAUCAGCCGUUAACGAACCGAUAUUUGCUGUUCUCAAUCAGCUCGCUAAUCUUAACGGGCUAAAAGGCUAAUUGAUUAACUUAGCUUCAACC